UACGUAGGGUGCAAGCGUUGUCCGGAAUUAUUGGGCGUAAAGAGCGUGUAGGCGGUCCUGUAAGUCCGCUGUGAAAGUCGGGGGCUCAACCCUCGAAUGCCGGUGGAUACUGUCGGGCUAGAGUGCGGAAGAGGCGAGUGGAAUUCCUGGUGUAGCGGUGAAAUGCGCAGAUAUCAGGAGGAACACCGAUUGCGAAGGCAGCUCGCUGGGACGUAACUGACGCUGAGACGCGAAAGCGUGGGGAGCAAACAGG
rnacentral:rRNA from 1 species